CGGGUGAGUAACACGUGGGUUACGUGCCCCGAUGAUUGGGACAACCCGAGGAAACUCGGGCUAAUACCAAAUGUGCUCGUGUCCGUGAUGGACUCGAGGAAAGGAAGCUUCGGCCUCCGCAUCGGGAUCGGCCCGCGGCCCAUUAGCUAGUUGGUGGGGUAACGGCCUACCAAGGCGACGAUGGGUAGCUGGUCUGAGAGGACGAUCAGCCACACUGGGACUGAGACACGGCCCAG
rnacentral:rRNA from 1 species